rnacentral:lncRNA from 1 species
GUUCCUAAUUCAUAAUUUGUGACAUUGAGAAUGGCAGCAAGCAUUUGGUGGCUCUCCCAGGCAGCUCUGAAGAUGCAGCUAGAACAAGGACUAGAAAUCACAGACCGAUCUCUCAGGGAAGUCUCCUUCCCAGGCUGCUUCCCAGGCUCACCCAACCAGCAAGUCCAUUUGAAGCUGGAAGAUUCUGUGUCCAUUUGGGAGGUAGUCAACUAUGAAUUCCUCUCUCCACUUUGGCUGCUAUUGUCAGUGAGAAGCAGGAUGAAGAGGAGGCAGUUUGUCUGGACUGAGAUCCACGAACCCUGGGAAUCUGGAGGCAGAGGGUAUUGUUGAGAUGACCAGAAAGCAGCCAGUUGGCCCACAUCUAUUUCAUCAAGUCCUCAGCCCAGUGGAGGUUUGUGCUGCCCUCAGACACCAGUGACCUGGGAUUUCUGCAGUCAAGAGGGAGCUAAUAAUGGUGCCAGGGUCACUUGGGGGAAGAAGCAAGAGCAGGACUUAAGAUCUUUCCCCCAGUCUGAGCUCUUCAUGCCACCGCCAGCUGCUUCUGCCCCGGCUGGAAUCACCAACAUCCCACAGCCCCUCCUGGGCAGCUUCAGUUAGGAUGUCUAACUUCAGUUCCUGUUUUCGUUUGUUUGUGGAAACCAUACUCUCUGUUUUUUAAGAAAUCGUUUCUCACAGGAGGCUGAGGCAGGAGAAUCGCUUGAACUUGGGAGGAGGAGGUUGUGGUGAGCUCAGAUCAUGCCAUUGCACUCCAGCCUGGGCAACAAGAGUGAAACUCCAUCUCACAAAAUAAAAUAAAAUAAAAUAAAAUAAAAUAAAAUAUAAAAUAAAAAUCAUUUCUCCAAGGUUGAUUUUGGGGGCAAGGAAACUGCAACCUGCACUGGUUUGCCAUUUUGACACAAAUCAGAAAAAUUACCC